rnacentral:rRNA from 1 species
GGGUGAGUAAUGCGUGACCAACCUGCCCCAUGCUCCAGAAUAGCUCUUGGAAACGGGUGGUAAUGCUGGAUGCUCCAACUUGACGCAUGUCUUGUUGGGAAAGUGUUUAGUGGCAUGGGAUGGGGUCGCGUCCUAUCAGCUUGUAGGCGGGGUAAUGGCCCACCUAGGCUUCGACGGGUAGCCGGCCUGAGAGGGCGGACGGCCACAUUGGGACUGAGAUACGGCCCAGACUCCUACGGGAGCAGCAGAU